rnacentral:rRNA from 1 species
AUACGUAGGGGACAAGCGUUGUCCGGAAUGACUGGGCGUAAAGGGCGCGUAGGCGGUCUAUUAAGUCUGAUGUGAAAGGUACCGGCUCAACCGGUGAAGUGCAUUGGAAACUGGUAGACUUGAGUCUUGGAGAGGCAAGUGGAAUUCCUAGUGCAGCGGUGAAAUGCGUAGAUAUUAGGAGGAACACCAGUGGCGAAGGCGGCUUGCUGGACAAAUACUGACGCUGAGGUGCGAAAGCGUGGGGAGCGAACAGGAUUAGAUACCCUGGUAGUCCACGCCGUAAACGAUGAAUGCUAGGUGUUGGGGAAACUCAGUGCCGCAGUUAACACAAUAAGCAUUCCGCCUGGGGAGUACGACCGCAAGGUUGAAACUCAAAUGAAUUGACGGGG